rnacentral:rRNA from 1 species
GGGUGCGAUCAUACCAGCACUAAUGCACCGGAUCCCAUCAGAACUCCGAAGUUAAGCGUGCUUGGGCGAGAGUAGUACUAGGAUGGGUGACCUCCUGGGAAGUCCUCAUGUUGCACCCC